CAUCUCUUUAUGAAUAUGAUUUAAGGUUUGAUCUGCUCAAUGAUUUAUUAAAUAGCCGCAGUAUUUUAACUGUGCUAAGGUAGCAUAAUAAAUAGUUUCUUUAUUGGGAACUGGAAUGAAUGAUUUGACAAAAAAUAUACUGUCUCUUAAUUUUAAUUGAAUUUUACUUUAUAGUUAAAAGGCUAUAAUUAAGAUAAAAGACGAGAAGACCCUUUAGAGUUUUAAUUUUUUUUUAAUAGAAUUUCUUUAUUAUUUAAAUUUUAUUUAGAAAUUAUUUUGGUUGGGGUUGCUUUAAGAUUUAAUUAAUUCUUAAUUUUUUAUCAUUAAUUUAUGAUUUAGUUUUCUUAUUUUAAGUAAAAUAUAAAUUACCUUAGGGAUAACAGCGUAAUUUUCAUUAAAAAUAAAAUUUAAAUGGAAGUUUGCGACCUCGAUGUUGGAUUA
rnacentral:rRNA from 1 species